rnacentral:rRNA from 1 species
UACGGAGGGUGCAAGCGUUAUCCGGAUUUACUGGGUUUAAAGGGUGUGUAGGCGGGCAAUUAAGUCAGCGGUGAAAUCUCCGGGCUCAACCCGGAAACUGCCAUUGAUACUAUUUGUCUUGAAUAUCGUGGAGGUAAGCGGAAUAUGUCAUGUAGCGGUGAAAUGCUUAGAUAUGACAUAGAACACCAAUUGCGAAGGCAGCUUACUACCCGAAUAUUGACACUGAGGCACGAAAGCGUGGGGAUCAAACAGG